UCAGACUUGAUCAGAUUUGAAUAUUUACUUCCAUCUUUAGUGUUCAUAAUACAUCUUCCUUAUUAGAUACACAUAAGAGAUUGGAAAUAUCCCUUUGCGUGAUGGUAACAUCAACACCCAUCACAAUUGAUAUGAUUUCAACUUCUUUAAACUUUUUCAGACCCAUCUCAGCUCUUGACUUCCCUUUAUUUGCUUCAUCUUCAACAAUCUUCCCUCUAUCUUCAAAAGAUGCAACAACUUAUCAUAUACCUCAACCCUAACCCAUAAAUAUUUAACCAAGUAAGAAUAGGUUUGGCCAUUAAGUAUGUCAAAAAAGUGUGUCCAACUCUGAACUUCGAAGUAUUCUUUUAGAGGAUACCCAUUUACCUCAAAAUAUUUGAAA
rnacentral:lncRNA from 1 species